GAUGAACGCUAGCGAUAGGCUUAACACAUGCAAGUCGAGGGGCAGCAUGGUCUUAGCUUGCUAAGACUGAUGGCGACCGGCGCACGGGUGCGUAACGCGUAUGCAACUUGCCUCACAGAGGGGGAUAACCCGCCGAAAGACGGACUAAUACCGCGUACACUUGGGAUAGGGCAUCCUGACCCAAGGAAAUGAAAUUCGCUGUGAGAUAGGCAUGCGUCCCAUUAGCUAGUUGGUGAGGUAACGGCUCACCAAGGCGACGAUGGGUAGGGGAACUGAGAGGGUGAACCCCCACCCGGGAACGGAGCAACGGGCCAAAACCCGACGGGGGGAAGGAGUGAGGAAUUUUGGUAAAUGGGGGAGGGCCUGAACCAGCCAAGUCGCGGGAAGGAGGACUGUCUUAUGGAUUUUAAACUUCUUUUAUAGGGGAAUAACAAGGGCCCCGGGGGGCUCCCUGGAUGGACCGUAUGAAAAAGCAGCGGCUAACUCCGU
rnacentral:rRNA from 1 species